rnacentral:rRNA from 1 species
CUUGUACACACCGCCCGUCACACCAUGGGAGCGGGAUGUACCAGAAGUAGGUAGGCUAACCGCAAGGAGGGCGAUUACCACGGCAGGGUUCGUGACUGGGGUG